GAUAUAAGUAGUCAAGCUUGUUUCUUGUAUUUGCAUGUCCUUGUUUCUUGUAUUUGCAUGUUUCUUGUAUAUGCAUGUUCUUGUAGAUAAAGAGUUGGUUUCAGACUAAGCUCCAAGACUCGCCACAAGUCCCUAAAAAUGAUUUGGUUUCUCCACAAGGUCCUCAAUGUAAGGAAGGUGAGAUUUCAUGCACUAUCAUAACGUUGUUAGGAUAGUUUCCUUAUAUAAGAAUUACAUAGUUGUUGGCUUGUUUCUUAGCUCUAAGAUGAUUUUUUAUUGUGCAAGCAUUUUUUGAUCCAGAAAUAAAGAAAACGAAGAUCAAGAACAACUAGCUAUAUCCCUAUGUUAGAACAUUUGUGUUGU
rnacentral:lncRNA from 1 species